rnacentral:rRNA from 1 species
GCUCGAGUGGCGAACGGGUGAGUAACACGUGAGUAACCUGCCCUUGACUUUGGGAUAACUUCAGGAAACUGGGGCUAAUACCGGAUAGGAGCUCCUGCUGCAUGGUGGGGGUUGGGAGAGUUUCGGCGGUUGGGGAUGGACUCGCGGCUUAUCAGCUUGUUGGUGGGGUAGUGGCUUACCAAGGCUUUGACGGGUAGCCGGCCUGAGAGGGUGACCGGCCACAUUGGGACUGAGAUACGGCCCAG